CCUACGGGGGGCUGCAGUGGGGAAUAUUGGACAAUGGGGGGAACCCUGAUCCAGCCAUGCCGCGUGUGUGAAGAAGGCCCUCGGGUUGUAAAGCACUUUCAGUGAGGAAGAACGCCUGGUGGUUAAUACCCAUCAGGAAAGAUAUCACUCACAGAAGAAGCACCGGCUAACUCCGUGCCAGCAGCCGCGGUAAUACGGAGGGUGCGAGCGUUAAUCGGAAUUACUGGGCGUAAAGCGCGCGUAGGUGGCUUGAUAAGCCGGUUGUGAAAGCCCCGGGCUCAACCUGGGAACGGCAUCCGGAACUGUCAAGCUAGAGUGCAGGAGAGGAAGGUAGAAUUCCCGGUGUAGCGGUGAAAUGCGUAGAGAUCGGGAGGAAUACCAGUGGCGAAGGCGGCCUUCUGGACUGACACUGACACUGAGGUGCGAAAGCGUGGGUAGCAAACAGGAUUAGAUACCCUAGUAGUC
rnacentral:rRNA from 1 species